UUAGGUAAGGAUAAGGAGAUUAUUUCAUAGAAAAGUGGAGAGAAAUGGAAACAGUUAAAAAAAAAAAAAGCACAAAGUUGCAGCAGGCACAAGAAACUUCCUUCCUAUGAAAACUUCAUUUUAGGUUUAUGUUACAUCAUCUACCUUCCAAAGUCCAAACCAGAGCUCUAGGCCUUUGGGAGAGUUUAUAGAGUCUCAGUGAAGUGGUCCCCGUGAAAUUGUGGGGCACACAUCCGCCUAUCAGUUUUGGGCUUUGGUUAUAGCAACAAGAUAGUAGUUUUGGACAUUUGCUUAUUAUAUAUUCUACUAUCCCUUCCGUAAAACUUUCUUCCCCAGCUUUGGCCUUGAAGAACAGAAGUUAAUCUUAUAGCUUUUUUCUGUUCAAAGAGUAGUUUUGCUGCUUUUGCAUUACACAAAUGAUUUGGGGGAAUUCAGGGGAAGCAUUAUUAGACAUGGCUCUGUGAUUUGACUCUGCUUACAGCUUGAAUUUGUCGGUAUGGGUAGCUGUUCUAAGACGAUUAUGUGGUUCAGAAGGGAUCUCAGGAUUGAGGACAAUCCUGCUUUAGCUGCAGCAGCUAGAGAUGGGUCUGUCCUUCCUGUGUACAUAUGGUGCCCAGGAGAAGAAAAGCAGUUCUUUCCUGGCCGAGUAUCAAGAUGGUGGCUGAAGCAGUCCCUUGCCCACUUGGAUCAGUCCUUGAGAUCUCUUGGCGCCUCACUCGUGUUGAUUAAAGCUGAAAACACUCUUUCUGCUCUUUUGCAGUGCAUCGAUGCCGUCGGGGCAACCAAAGUCGUCUAUAACCAUCUCUACGAUCCAAUUUCUCUGGCCCGUGAUCACGAUGUCAAACAGAAGCUCGUGGAACAUGGAAUUUCUGUGCGGAGCUUUAAUGGAGAUUUGUUGUAUGAACCAUGGGAAGUGCAUGAUGAGAAGGGCCAAGCUUUUACAACCUUCAACGAAUACUGGGAUAAAUGCUUGCAUGAGCCAUUUGAAUCUGCCUUGGUUCUUCCUCCAUGGCGAUUGGUACCUCCUGCAGGAAUAAUUGAAAGCUGUUCAAUCGAGGAACUGGGUCUUGAAGAUGAAUCAGAAAAGUCUAGCAAUGCUUUACUAGGAAGAGGGUGGUCUCCUGGUUGGAUGAGUGCUGAUAAAUCCCUCAAUGAAUUUGUUGAUCGACAUCUGCUUAACUACUCCAUAAAUAGGCUGAAAGCAGAAGGGACCUCAACAUCACUCUUGUCCCCACAUCUUCAUUUUGGUGAAUUAAGUGUGAGAAAGGUCUUCCAGUGUGUAAGGAUGAAGCAGAUUCUCUGGGCAAAAGAGGGCAACUCUGAUGGGGAGGAGAGUGUUAGACAUUUUCACAGGGCUAUUGGUCUCAGAGAAUAUUCACGUUAUUUUUGCUUCAACUUCCCGUUCACUCACAAGAGAUCAUUGCUUAGAAGUUUGAGAUAUUUUCCUUGGCGUGCUGAUCAGGAAAAUUUUAAGGCUUGGAGACAGGGUCGGACUGGUUAUCCAUUGGUGGAUGCAGGAAUGAGAGAGCUUUGGGCAACGGGGUGGAUACACAACAGGAUUAGAGUUAUUGUUGCAAGCUUCUGUGUGAAGUUCUUGCUGCUUCCAUGGACAUGGGGAUUGAAGUACUUCUGGGACACCUUGUUGGAUGCUGACUUGGAAAGCGACAUCCUUGGUUGGCAAUAUAUCUCAGGCAGCUUACCAGAUGGUCAUGAGCUCAACCGUCUGGACAGCCCAGAGGUUCAGGGCUGCAAGUUUGAUCCAGAGGGUCAAUAUGUGAGGCACUGGGUUCCUGAGCUAGCAAGAAUGCCCACUGAGUGGAUUCAUCAUCCUUGGGAUGCUCCAAUAACAGUGCUUAGAGCUGCGGGAGUGGAUUUGGGUUUAAACUAUCCAAAGCCUAUUAUUGGAAUAGAUUUGGCGAGAGAGCGCUUAAAUGCUGCUCUAUCUAUGAUGUGGGGAUCAGAAGCAGCUGCAAGGAACACAACAUCAAGUGGAACAAAUGAAGUUGUUGUUGACAACUCUGAUGCUAUUGAAAACUUAGAAAUUCCAAGGGUUAUCUUAAACGAAAGAAUUUCCCGCAGUACUAAUUCUUCUCGUGAUCAAAGGGUUCCCUCAAUUCAAAAUCUAAAGAAUGGUCCAUCUGAGCGGAAGAGAUCUAAAUGCUGGGAAGAUGAGGAAUCUUUCCGUGAUAACUUUCGAAGUGUCAUCAAUGAAGCUGAUGUGUCUAGGACAGUUGAAGACUUAUGCUCUACUGCUGAAUCAUCUGCUAAGAAACGAAGCACCGGUGAAAAUCAGUCCUCUGUUUCUCAUUUGUAUUCUGCAUCUUUGAAACAGGAAUCUUUGGAUGAGUAUGAACUUCCUGCCUCUUCACGACCAUGGCAUGAACAAGUUGACUUGGAAGAAGCUUCAAGCAAAGAAGGAGGAACUGGAUUUUGAUUCUUAUAUCAAUCUUAAAAGCAUGGGAUGAGAAAAAGAAAUGGAAUCAGAGCUUCCGUAUAAACAAGUGUCUUAAAGCAUGAACUGAUCUCUUGUUCAAGCACGGAGAUGGUCUUCCGAGAGAGAGAUUCCCUUCUCACAGUGUCCAUUCUGUCGUCGAGGAUUUGAUGAAAACUGGGGAGCUGAGGCUAAAGAAAAAGAAGAGGGCCAAGAAGAAGUGCCAGAAUUCCCCCCUCAAAGAUUUAUGCUGAAGAUGGGUUUCUUUAGACCCAAGUAUCUCUUAUGCAGGACAAGAAUGAUUUGGAUUGCUCAUAUCCCUUCCUUGUCUAGUGUAACACAGAGGACCAAACAACAAUAUAAUUAUCUUGUUAAGGCCCACAAUUCCAAGGCCUUGACACUUGCUCAGGUUAUAAGGUGCAGUACCUACGGCUUACAUCAAACAGCCCACGACACAGCUGGGGACGAAACCAGUACCGUUCAUGGCCUCAUUCUCCUCCAAGGAACCUAACACAUGUCUCCUGGCUUCUCAAGUCCGAAAUCGCUGCACCUGAGCAUCAUCACCGCCUACACUGGAGAAAUGGAGCCCUCCGGUCUGCUUUACCAUAGUGGACAAGUUGCUUCAACUCUGAAUCAGGGACAUUCAUGUCCUGCCUUCUUAUUUCUGGUUUUUGUGGUGGAUUACAGGAAAGCUAACAGAGAGGGGGAGCCGGGGAUGCAGAGAGAGGGAGUGGGGGGAGAGUGAGGAUGCAAUGGCAAACAGAGUGAACAGUUGGAAUUCUUUCUCCUCCAUCCAAUGGCAAUAAGGUGCUAGCAUAAGGGGUGUAGGAGAUUCCAUUCCACCCUGAAGCUCAGAGAACUUUUUCCAUAAGAAUAAUAUAUGUUUAUUUCAUGGUUCCAUAAGGACGAACCGGAAAAAAGAAUAUUGGAAAGAAAAGUUGAUAUUUUCUGGCUUACUGUACUGCAUUGCACAUGCAAACUACUGUCAUUCUUGGCAUUGCAAUCAUGAAAUAUUAUGGUGUUGAAUACCUUUUGAUUUGUUGGCAUGACAAUGGCUUAUCAGAGGAAAAUAGAUUGGUGGGGCUUAAGUAGAAGUUCAAUGAGAAGAGAGCAGACUAAGGUUGGGAAGGCCGAAGUUCUAGAUGAGAGAUGAUGUUGGGGGGCUUCUCCCGGACAGUGGUUGCUGAUAUGCCUGAUAUGCAUCAGUACCUCUUGAGGUCAUGGUAUUCAUUUCCUUGAUUUCUUCCCUAUUCUAUGUUGACAUUAGAAUUCCUAGUAACAAUUUAUCGAGAAUGUCAAUUCCAGUUUCCCAGUCUUUGUUGUAGAAUUGCCUAUCUUUAUUCUUGAAUACUACAUGCAGGCAAUAACUUCCCCAGCAUUGGCCAAACACUUAUGGAGUAAUAGUCAGUAUAUUGGUUUAAGAAAUGCUUGUUACCUCUAAUGUUACACAGUAUUCUUUUUUCAUGGUUUAAA